GGCAAGAAACUUCGAGACCAUUCAGAAUCGGACCACCGAGUAGCUAGACGUAAACUUUCGAGGCCUCCGACCCCGUUCUAAGUUCGGUCGUUCCUUUCUAGGCCAUUGUGCCUCUCUUUCAGCGUUUUUUGACGGAACCAAGAAACCAAGUCUAGGGCAUCAUCGUUCGGCUUUUGUGGGCAAGAAACAUCGAGGCCACUCAGAAUCGGACCACCUAGUAGCUAGACGUG
rnacentral:lncRNA from 1 species